AAGUCGUAACAAGGUUUCCGUAGGUGAACCUGCGGAAGGAUCAUUAACACGUAUCCACGUAUCAACCAACUGUGCACCUGUUUUCACCUCUCCCUGCGUAGUCGUACAUGAAUUGAAGGAAUACCAAUGGUCGAUCGCUGAGGAGUCUUCGGACUCCGCCAUUGGACAUCCCCAACUUGAGCAAUCAGACAAUUGUAGUACGACCGGCAGGCAUAACCCCGUCUGCUCACCGACCUUCGCUCAGCUGAGGGAACGUGGCGGAUAAUAUUAUACACAAAUUUCACCCCAUUUUUGCUAGUUGACUUUUAUAUGUUGUCUUAUGACGUACUUCGGUAUGCCGUAAUUCACACGUUUAUUAUUUGAACGUUAAAUUUACAACUCUUAGCAAUGGAUAUCUUGGUUCUC
rnacentral:misc_RNA from 1 species